UGGGGAAUAUUGCACAAUGGGCGCAAGCCUGAUGCAGCCAUGCCGCGUGUAUGAAGAAGGCCUUCGGGUUGUAAAGUACUUUCAGCGAGGAGGAAGGCGUUGUGGUUAAUAACCGCAGCGAUUGACGUUACUCGCAGAAGAAGCACCGGCUAACUCCGUGCCAGCAGCCGCGGUAAUACGGAGGGUGCAAGCGUUAAUCGGAAUUACUGGGCGUAAAGCGCACGCAGGCGGUUUGUCAAGUCGGAUGUGAAAUCCCCGGGCUCAACCUGGGAACUGCAUCCGAAACUGGCAGGCUAGAGUCUUGUAGAGGGGGGUAGAAUUCCAGGUGUAGCGGUGAAAUGCGUAGAGAUCUGGAGGAAUACCGGUGGCGAAGGCGGCCCCCUGGACAAAGACUGACGCUCAGGUGCGAAAGCGUGGGGAGCAAACA
rnacentral:rRNA from 1 species